rnacentral:rRNA from 1 species
GUGGGGAAUCUUGCGCAAUGGGCGAAAGCCUGACGCAGCCAUGCCGCGUGAAUGAUGAAGGUCUUAGGAUUGUAAAAUUCUUUCACCGGGGACGAUAAUGACGGUACCCGGAGAAGAAGCUCCGGCUAACUUCGUGCCAGCAGCCGCGGUAAUACGAAGGGGGCUAGCGUUGCUCGGAAUUACUGGGCGUAAAGGGCGCGUAGGCGGAUCGUUAAGUCAGGGGUGAAAUCCCAGAGCUCAACUCUGGAACUGCCCUUGAUACUGGCGAUCUUGAUUGUGAGAGAGGUAUGUGGAACUCCGAGUGUAGAGGUGAAAUUCGUAGAUAUUCGGAAGAACACCAGUGGCGAAGGCGACAUACUGGCUCAUUACUGACGCUGAGGCGCGAAAGCGUGGGGAGCAAACAGGAUUAGAUACCCUGGUAGUC